rnacentral:misc_RNA from 1 species
GGGAUUUGGGCAUGUAGUUCUAUUUUGGCAUCUAUGGUAACAGCAGGCUAGUAACCUGUUCUUUGAUUUAUUAUUUUAGAAUUGUUUGGAUAUGAUCUUAGUAUCCUUAUCGUGCAUGAUGCAACUAAUUGAACUGGCAGGCUUAUGUGUAGAAACACAAUAGUUGUACCACUACUACCCCAGAUUUGCGCAUUUAUCUUCUAUGCUAAUAAUUUAUUUGAAGAUUAGGAAUGAACAAAAAUGAAAAUGUUAGCUCUGUCAAUCUUGUAUGUGAUAAUGUGAGGCAUUAUUAUACUCUUGUCAUUCUGAGAAUUUUUGUACAAAAAAAUUCAACAAUCUGAAUAUUUGUAUGCAAAGCAGGUAGUGGCUCAUGCGCAUUAGA